GGUACCUUUAAAUGCAGUCCCGUGAGGCUGACAAGGUAAGUCGGAAUUUAUAUGAUAUUAGACGUAAAUGCGUAGCGCUCGUCUAUUUUCUUAUAUGCACACGUAUAGGCUUCUUGUCAGGAACGACUGACAAGAAGCCUUUUUU
rfam:Pontibacillus yanchengensis Y32 contig35, whole genome shotgun sequence.